rnacentral:ncRNA from 2 species
UUCUUAUCAAGAGAGGCGGAGGGACUGGCCCUAAGAAGCCCGACAACCUAUGUCAUUUUAAGACAAAAGGUGUCAAUUCCAGCAGAGAUGUAUUAUUUCUGAGAGAUAAGGG